AGAGUUUGAUCCUGGCUCAGAACGAACGCUGGCGGCGUGGAUUAGGCAUGCAAGUCGAGCGAGAAAGGGGUAGCAAUACCCCGAGUAAAGCGGCGAACUGGUGAGUAACAGGUGGGUAAUGUGCCUCGAAGUGGGGGAUAACACGGGGAAACCCGUGCUAAUACCGCAUACGAUGGGAGGGACCAUGGUCCUUUCGAUCAAAGACUUCGGUCGCUUCGAGAUCGGCCCGCCCCCGAUUAGCUAGUUGGUGAGGUCACGGCUCACCAAGGCUUCGAUCGGUAGCUGGUCUGAGAGGAUGGUCAGCCACACUGGGACUGAGAUACGGCCCAGACUCCUACGGGGGGCAGCAGUCUAGAGGCUUCGUCAAUGGGGGCAACCCUGAACGAGCGACGCCGCGUGCGGGAUUGAAGGCCUUCGGGUCGUAAACCGCUGUCAGGAGGGAAGAAUGCCCGAAUGGUGAAUUCGGGAGAGACGGUACCUUCGGAGGAAGCCCCGGCUAACUCCGUGCCAGCAGCCGCGGUAAUACGGAGGGGGCAAGCGUUGUUCGGAUUUACUGGGCGUAAAGGGUGUGUAGGCGGCCGCGUAAGUCUGGUGUGAAAUCUUCGCCGCUUAACGGGAAGAGGUCACUGGAUACUGCGUGGCUCGAGUAUGGUAGAGGCAAGCGGAAUUCCUGGUGUAGCGGUGGAAUGUGUAGAUAUCAGGAAGAACAUCUGUGGCGAANGCGGCUUGCUGGGCCAUCACUGACGCUGAGACACGAAAGCGUGGGGAGCAAACGGGAUUAGAUACCCUGGUAGUC
rnacentral:rRNA from 1 species